rnacentral:tRNA from 1 species
UGCUUAGGUAAGUUAAAUAAACUGUAGAUUUGUGGUAUCUAAAAUUCUUUAUGACUUAAGUAU